rnacentral:lncRNA from 1 species
AGUUACUUAGUUUAAAAUCCCUCUACUGACCAACUGUAUUUUCUAGAUGCUUUCCUCGGUGACUCUAAUUAAUGGAUACAUAUUGAGUUUGCAUAAAGUUAUCCUGGUACUACCAAAAUUGGCCUAGAGUGGAGCUGAAGAAUUACCCACUUUUUCUCUCUCUUUGUGAGGAAGUAGAAAAAUGCUAAACUAGAAGGUAGGAUUCAAGAUGAGAUGAGAAAUGAAAGCCAAAAACCACACACGAGCCAUCUUAAAAAGCUCCUAGUAUGAGGCCUGGAUCGUCAGAACUUUGAAUAAAUUUUCGAUGAAUCAGGGAUGACACUGAAGGAGAGUCUCUGUGCAGGACUCAUCAUACUGAGGCUCAGCUGACAUGAGCUGCAUCCUCCAGCAGACUGGCGCUGCCCUGAGCUCUGUGACCCAACCUGAACUCCUCUUUCUUGUCAGUCUGGUUCUUGCUGGGAUUAUCAGUAAAGCCAAGUGUACUUAUUUUGGAAACCACUGAAGCAGAAGAAAAAGGCAUACACUUUCUAUGUGUUCCUGGAAUAUGAUUGAGUGCUAAUAGCUUCAACAUUGGGAAGGCAAGGAUCCACGUCCUGGAGCAGAUAUGCAGACUGCCUUGAGGUCAAGCACUUCCUCCUAAUUAGGAGACUACGAUGGAAUGAAGAGGAGAGCAAUUACUUGUGCUUCAUCACUGGUUCGUUGGUGCUGAGGAUACAUUGAUGAAUAAGACAAGUCCCUGGCUUCAAGGAGCUCAUAAUCCAUCAGAGGAGACAAACUCUAUUUCUCAAUGUGUUACCCUCUAUAAUAGGCGUCUAUACAACAUGUUACAUGAAUAGACACGUGCAGGACUGGCUACAUAAGUUGAAGGGUCUAGUGCAAAAUGAAAAUGUGGGGCCUUUGCUUGUAAAUUAUUAAGAAUUUCAAAAUGCAUUAAACUAAGCAUGGUUCCCAUGGAGCCAGUCCAGCACAUGGGAAAAGUAAUGGGAUCGAGGUGUCAGUCCUGAGAAGCCUUCAAAAGGAAGUGAUACUAGUGCCAGUUCUUGUAGGAUGACUAGGAGUUUGGUACGUGGAGAAGGAGGGAAGAACAUUCUGGGUAAGAAAAGAGGGUUAACAAAAUCAAAAUGCAGAGUGUGUGAGAGGAGGUUGUCAGUCUAUUGAGGGAAGACAAACUGUGAGGCCACAGUCUAGAGUCUUGGACUGAGGGAGGCUAGAGAUACAUUUAUAGAGAGAAGAUG